rnacentral:rRNA from 1 species
AUUGAACGCUGGCGGCAGGCCUAACACAUGCAAGUCGAGCGGAGCGGCGGACGGGUGAGUAAUGCCUAGGAAUCUGCCUGGUAGUGGGGGAUGACGUCCGGAAACGGGACCUGAUCCCGCAUACUUUUAGAUGAGCCUAGGUCGGAUUAGCUAGUUGGGGGGGUAAAGGCCUACCAAGGCGACGUUCCGUACCUGGUCUGAGAGGAUGAUCAGUCACACUGGAACUGAGACACGGUCCAGACUCCUACGGGAGGCAGCAGUGGGGAAUAUUGGACAAUGGGCGAAAGCCUGAUCCAGCCAUGCCGCGUGUGUGAAGAAGGUCUUCGGAUUGUAAAGCACUUUAAGUUGGGAGGCGUUACCAAAAGAAUAAGCAACGGCUAACUUCGUGCCAGCAGCCGCGGUAAUAC